GUCUAUGGCCAUGCCAGCCCGAUCCUGUGUGAUCUCAGAAAUUAAGCAGGGUCAGGCCUCGUUAGUACCUGGAUGGGAGACCUCCUAGGAAGACCAGGUGUUGUAGGCA
ensembl:rRNA 5S_rRNA 5S ribosomal RNA